GACGAACGCUGGCGGCGUGCUUAACACAUGCAAGUCGAACGGUAAGGCCCUUCGGGGUACACGAGUGGCGAACGGGUGAGUAACACGUGGGUGAUCUGCCCUGCACUUCGGGAUAAGCCUGGGAAACUGGGUCUAAUACCGGAUAGGACCACUGCCUGCAUGGGUGGGGGGUGAAAGCUUUUGCGGUGUGGGAUGGGCCCGCGGCCUAUCAGCUUGUUGGUGGGGUGAUGGCCUACCAAGGCGACGACGGGUAGCCGGCCUGAGAGGGUGACCGGCCACACUGGGACUGAGAUACGGCCCAGACGCCUACGGGAGGCAGCAGUGGGGAAUAUUGCACAAUGGGCGCAAGCCUGAUGCAGCGACGCCGCGUGAGGGAUGACGGCCUUCGGGUUGUAAACCUCUUUCAGCACCGACGAAGCGCAAGUGACGGUAGGUGCAGAAGAAGGACCGGCCAACUACGUGCCAGCCGCCGCCGUAA
rnacentral:rRNA from 1 species